UGAGGAAUCUUCCGCAAUGGGCGCAAGCCUGACGGAGCAACGCCGCGUGAGUGAAGAAGGCCUUCGGGUUGUAAAGCUCUGUCUUCAGGGAAGAAGAAAAUGACGGUACCUGAGGAGGAAGCCCCGGCUAACUACGUG
rnacentral:rRNA from 1 species